rnacentral:tRNA from 1 species
GCCUGAGUGGCUCAGUCGGUUAAGUGUCUGACUUCGGCUCAGGUCAUGAUCUCACAGUUCGUGAGUUCAAGCCCCACGUUGGGCU